GACGAACGCUGGCGGCGUGCUUAACACAUGCAAGUCGAACGGUCAAAGAAGAGCUUUCUCUUCUGGAUCAUUGGCGAACGGGGGAGUAUCACGUGUGUAACCUGCCCCUGUCUCUGUAAUAAGCCCUGGAAACGGCGUCUAAUAUCGGAUACGAUACAUAGCUGCAUGUGUAUUGUUUGUAAAGUUUUCCGUUCUGGUAUGGACUCGCGGCAUAUCAGCUUGUUGGUGAGGUAACGGCUCACCAAGGAUACGACGGGUAGCCGGCCUGAGAGGGCGACCGGGCACACUGGCCUUGAGAAACGGCCAGGACUCAUACGGGAGGCAGGAGUGAGGACUAUUGCGCACUGGGCGACGGCAGGAUGCAGGGACGCCGGGUGGGGGAUGACGGCCAUCAGGUAGUAACAAUCUUUCAGCAAGCAAGAAGCGAAAGUGCCGGUCCCAGCAAAAGAAGCACCGCCUAACUACGU
rnacentral:rRNA from 1 species